rnacentral:rRNA from 1 species
UACGGAGGGUGCGAGCGUUGUUCGGAAUUACUGGGCGUAAAGCGCGUGUAGGCGGCUUCCUAAGUCUGGUGUGAAAGCCCGGGGCUCACCCCCGGAAGUGCAUUGGAUACUGGGAAGCUGGAGUACCGGAGAGGAAGGUGGAAUUCCUGGUGUAGCGGUGAAAUGCGUAGAUAUCAGGAGGAACACCGGUGGCGAAGGCGGCCUUCUGGACGGAUACUGACGCUGAGACGCGAAAGCGUGGGGAGCAAACAGG